rnacentral:rRNA from 1 species
AGAGUUUGAUCAUGGCUCAGGACGAACGCUUGCGGCGUGCCUAAGAAAUGCAAGUCGAACGGGGUUAGCAGCAAUGCUGAUCCAGUGGCGAACGGUCGCGUAACACGUAAGCAACCUGCCUCGAAGUGGGGGAUAACAGUCCGAAAGGAUUGCUAAUACCGCAUGUGGUCCAGUUCUGGCAUCAGGUCUGGUCUAAAGAUUUAUCGCUUCGAGAUGGGCUUGCGGCCUAUCAGGUAGUUGGUGGGGUAAUGGCCUACCAAGCCGACGACGGGUAGCUGGUCUGAGAGGACGAUCAGCCGGAUUGGGACUGAGAUACGGCCCAGACUCCUACGGGGGGCAGCAAUUAGGAAUCUUGCACAAUGGGGGAAACCCUGAUGCAGCGACGUCGCGUGAAGGAUGAAGGGUCUCGGCCUGUAAACUUCUUUUGACAGGGAAGAAACACAUGACGGUACCUGUCGAAUAAGCCCCGGCUAACUACGUGCCAGCAGCCGCGGUAAUACGUAGGGGGCGAGCGUUGUCCGAAUUUACUGGGCGUAAAGCGCGCGUAGGCGGUUUCUUAAGUCUGGGGUGAAAGGUUCAACGCUCAACGUGAACAGUGCCUUGGAUACUGGGAGACUUGAGUCUGGGAGGGGGCAGUGGAAUUCCUGGUGUAGCGGUGAAAUGCGUAGAUAUCAGGAGGAACACCGGUGGCGAAGGCGGCUGCCUGGCCUAAGACUGACGCUGAGGUGCGAAAGCGUGGGGAGCGAACGGGAUUAGAUACCCCAGUAGUCC